rnacentral:rRNA from 1 species
AGUGAACGCUGGCGGUAGGCCUAACACAUACAAGUCGAACGGCAGCACAGUAAGAGCUUGCUCUUACGGGUGGCGAGUGGCGGACGGGUGAGGAAUACAUCGGAAUCUACUUUUUCGUGGGGGAUAACGUAGGGAAACUUACGCUAAUACCGCAUACGACCUACGGGUGAAAGCAGGGGAUCUUCGGACCUUACGCGAUUGAAUGAGCCGAUGUCGGAUUAGCUAGUUGGCGGGGUAAAGGCCCACCAAGGCGACGAUCCGUAGCUGGUCUGAGAGGAUGAUCAGCCACACUGGAACUGAGACACGGUCCAGACUCCUACGGGAGGCAGCAGUGGGGAAUAUUGGACAAUGGGCGCAAGCCUGAUCCAGCCAUACCGCGUGGGUGAAGAAGGCCUUCGGGUUGUAAAGCCCUUUUGUUGGGAAAGAAAAGCAGCAGGUUAAUACCCCGCUGUUCUGACGGUACCCAAAGAAUAAGCACCGGCUAACUUCGUG